rnacentral:tRNA from 1 species
GCGUUCGUAGCUCAACUGGAUAGAGCGACGGACUUCGAAUCCGUAGGCCGCAGGUUCGAGUCCUGUCGGACGCA